AAAAAUAUAAGUGAUCCAGUAAUUAAGAGCCCAUGGAUAACCAUGGAUACAAAGGGUGCUAAUACCUUCCCUUUGUAUAAUGUACCUCCCGAACCCAAAAUCUAUUGAGGUAUGAGGUCUUUCCUGUUCUUUUCCACCUUUCCUUAUUGGAUAAAAGAAAAGUCGGUGGCGACUCUUGCUAUCCGCGACAUUGCGAUAAAAAG
rnacentral:lncRNA from 1 species